GACGAACCGAGCGAACGUUGUUCGGAAUCACUGGGCGUAAAGGGCGCGUAGGUGGUUUGAUAAGGGUGUGGUGAAAGCCCGGGGCUCAACCCCGGGUCUGCCGUGCCGACUGUUAAACUCGAGGGCUGUAGAGGCAGACGGAAUUCCGGGUGUAGCGGUGGAAUGCGUAGAGAUCCGGAAGAACACCGGUGGCGAAGGCGGCC
rnacentral:rRNA from 1 species